rnacentral:rRNA from 1 species
CAGGUGGUGGAUGGCUGGGCCCAGGGAGCCGACGAAGGGCGUGGCAAGCUGCGAUAAGCCCCGGGUAGGCGCAUGCAGCCUUUGAUCCGGGGAUGCCCGAAUGGGAAUUCCCGCCCUUCGCGGCACUCGCCCUUAGAAAGGGCGAGAGGGAACCCGGGGAAUUGAAACAUCUUAGUACCCGGAGGAAAAGAAAGCAAAUGCGAUGCCGGGAGUAGGGGCGACCGAAACCGGCACAGCGCAAACCGAAUACCUUGCCGUAAGGCAAGGUAGAUGUGGGGUUGUAGGGCUUCCUCAUUAGCGUCCUAAAGGUGAAGCCGAAGUCCCUUGGAAAAGGGCGCCAUAGAGGGUGAUAGCCCCGUAGGCGUAAGCCUUUAGGACGUGAGGAAGUCCCUGAGUACCCUCAGCUGGUAACCUGGGGGGAAGCUGGGGGUCAAUGACCUCCAACGCUAAAUACUCCCUGGGUCCGAUAGCGAACUAGUAGCGUGAGCGAAAGCUGAAAAGUUCCCCGGAAGGGGAGUGAAAUAGACCUGAAACCACCUGGGGAUAGUUGGCGGGGCUCCUAAAAUGGGGUUCCGCCAUCCGUAUUGAAUAAUGGGCCGGGGAGUGUACGGGAGUGGCGAGACUAAGGCCUUAUGAAGGCCGGAGUCGUAGGGAAACCGAUUGGCCGCAGCCUUUUGAGGUCAGGGCCAGCCUGAAAGGGUAUUAGUCACUCCCGUACGACCGGAAGCCAGGCGAUCUAGGCCUGGGUACGGUGAAGGGGGUUUAUUCCCCUGGAGGCCGGCAAGGGUGGUGUGGACAUGCCCUCCCCUUACCCGGGUCUAGGGGUGAAAAGCCAAUCGAGCCUGGCGAUAGCCGGUUCCCGCCGAAACUGGCUGUAGUCAGGCCUCGGUGGAGGAGGUGGAGGGGGUAGAGCGACGGAUGAGAGAGCUACCGGGUAACACCGGAGCUCUCUUGUCCAACUCCGAAUCCCUCCACUCCGAAGAAGCCGGGAGACAGGGGCGGUGGGUAAGCUACCGUCCCAAAAGGGGAACAACCCUACCUGGGGUUAAGGCCCUUAAAUGCUCGCUAAGUGUUAAAGGCAUAAGGAGGUCCUCUCCCUAAGACAGCCGGGCGGUAGGCUUAGAAGCAGCCAUCCGUUAAAGAGUGCGUUACAGCUCACCGGCCGAGGGAGAGGGCGCCGAAAAUGGACGGGACUAAGCGAGCUGCCGAGACCCCAGGCCUCCUUCCCAUUGGGAAGGAGAGCGGUAGGCGGGCGUCCCUCUCGGGUAGAAGCUUCUGCGUGAGCAGGGGUGGACCGAGAGGGAAUGAAGAUCCCGGCGGCAGUAGGAGCAAAGUGCCGUGAGAAUCGGCACGGCCGAAAGGGCUAGGGUUCCCUGGCACUGAAGAUCAACCAGGGGUUAGCCGGUCCUAACCCAGGCCCUAACUGGGCUUUGGGGAAAGGGAAAGGAGUUAAUAUUCUCCUGCCCUGCCGGUACGUGCGGUAACGCUAAGCCCUCUCUCCGACGGUUCUGGCUAGGAAUGCCGGUCUUUUUAAGGCCGGUUAAGAGGCAUAAUCCCGGGGAGUGCCGUAAUGGCGAGAACCGGGAAAAAGCCUCGAAAACAUUCCGAUGCCAGGACCCAUUGAAAAGGGGAGAGGGAAGGACCCGGCAGGACCGUACCGAGGACCGACACAGGUGCCCUGGCUGAGUAGGCCGAGGCCGGAAGGGCUAAUCCGGGCUAGGGAAAUCGGCAAAUUGGCCCCGUAACUUCGGGAGAAGGGGUGCCUGAUCCUAACGGAUCAGGUCGCAGUGACUAGGGGGGGCGGACUGUUUAACCAAAACGUAGCUCCCCGCCAAGCC